rnacentral:rRNA from 1 species
UACGUAGGUGGCAAGCGUUGUCCGGAUUUAUUGGGCGUAAAGCGAGCGCAGGCGGUUUCUUAAGUCUGAUGUGAAAGCCCCCGGCUCAACCGGGGAGGGUCAUUGGAAACUGGGAGACUUGAGUGCAGAAGAGGAGAGUGGAAUUCCAUGUGUAGCGGUGAAAUGCGUAGAUAUAUGGAGGAACACCAGUGGCGAAGGCGGCUCUCUGGUCUGUAACUGACGCUGAGGCUCGAAAGCGUGGGGAGCAAACAGGAUUAGAUANCCCUGGUAGUNCAGGGCG